UCCCGUGUGGCUCAGUUGGUAGAGCAUGGCGUUUGCAACGCCAGGGUUGUGGGUUCCCGCGGGGA
rnacentral:tRNA from 1 species